GAUGUGAUGUUGACAUUACAGGACCGCCUUUCCCUGAGGUACAUUGAGCACUUUGCUCUUGUCCUUGAGUAUGCCGGGCCAGAACAGAAUCACAAGUUUCUGCUUCUUCAGGACAAGCAACCGCUGGCUUAUGUGGUACAGCGGACACACUAUCACGGAAUGAAAUGCCUCUUCCGAAUAAGCUUCUUUCCCAAAGACCCUGUGGAGCUGCUGCGUCGGGAUCCUGCUGCUUUUGAGUAUCUAUACAUCCAGGUAGAGUCUGGCUUGGGGAUACACAGACAGACCAGUGGACAAAGAAGCAGGCAGGCUGUUCUGCCAUCACAAUGAAAUAGCUAUGUAAGUUUUUCCAACCUCCAGGUAGCCCUGAAGGCCCUUUCCUUCCUCUUCUGCUACCAUCGUAGGCCAUGGCCAAGUUGGCUGGCCUGGUGACCUGAGCUGGCUGUGGCUCAAAGUCCUGUCUAUUUGUCCACUCAGAUCUCAUCAGUUUUCAGAAACAAGCAAUCCCAGUAACUCUGGCAUCCUCACAGGAUCCUAAAGUUUAACAAGCCCAUUUCGGUUUCAACGGGUCCCAACCCCCAAUACCUAGCUCCAGUAUGAGAUGAUUCCCAAUUCAGUUUAUCCAGAAACAUUUACUAGACACUUACUCUGGGUUAAGCCCUAUGCUAGGUACUAGCAAUCAGAAGUGAAUGAAGAACUGUCCUGGCUCACUAGAGCUUAUAUGUGCCUGAAUAAAUAUGACAGCAGCAGGGUGCAAUGAAGAUGAGGGCACUCAGGAAGCAUUUUUCCAACUCUACACAAGAGAGAUGGUGCAGGCUUCAUGGAAAAAGUGAUAUAUGCAUGCUCUUAGCCUUGAAGAAUGAAUGAGAGUUUGUUGUGUAGAGAGAUGGAAUGGAGGGGGCAUACUCUAAGCAAAGGGCCUUGUAUUUACAAAGCCAUGGUGGCAUG
rnacentral:sRNA from 1 species